rnacentral:rRNA from 1 species
UACAGAGGGGGCGAGCGUUGUUCGGAAUUACUGGGCGUAAAGGGCGCGUAGGCGGCCAACUAAGUCAGACGUGAAAUCCCUCGGCUCAACCGGGGAACUGCGUCUGAUACUGGAUGGCUUGAAUUCGGGAGAGGGAUGCGGAAUUCCAGGUGUAGCGGUGAAAUGCGUAGAUAUCAGGAAGAACACCCGUGGCUAAGGCGGCUCUCUAGUACGGUACUGACGCUGAGACGCGAAAGCGUGGGGAGCGAACAGG